rnacentral:tRNA from 1 species
GCGAGAGUGGCGGAAUUGGCAGACGCGCUGGAUUUAGGAUCCAGUCCUUCACGGGGUGGGGGUUCAAAUCCCCCCUUUCGCA